rnacentral:rRNA from 1 species
GACGAACCGUGCGAACGUUGUUCGGAAUCACUGGGCUUAAAGGGCGCGUAGGCGGACCAUCAAGUCCGUGGUGAAAUCCUCCGGCUUAACCGGAGAAUUGCCUGGGAUACUGGUGGUCUUGAGGGAGGUAGGGGAACGCGGAACUUCCGGUGGAGCGGUGAAAUGCGUUGAUAUCGGAAGGAACGCCGGUGGCGAAAGCGGCGUGCUGGCCCUCUUCUGACGCUGAGGCGCGAAAGCCAGGGGAGCGAACGGG